rnacentral:lncRNA from 1 species
UCACCUCAUUUAGGGGCUGGCCCUGGAAGGGAAGGUCUUCUCCGUGGAGAUCUUUUCUCUGGAGUUUUUGGUGAGCCCUGAUCCUCCGAAGGAGGCUCCUAGCAUUUUCCUGAAGAAGGAACACAUACAUGGGAGGAGGAACAAUGAACUGAAGAGCUUUGAGCUACUUAAAAAUAAGGUUCACUGCUGCCUCCCCCACCAUUCAUUGCUAAAGGAAGCUUUCAAGCCUUGGACCUUAGAAGACAGGAAACAUGAUCUGGCGUUACAUGCCUUAAGGGUUUUAACCCAGCCUGGACUGCAGGUCUCUGUGGAUGAAGGACUAUCCUUCGUGAAUGGGCCAUGUCUGGCAAUGGAGUCCAGUGACACUGCUGAACAAGAGAGUCAUAGCAGUCUUUUGCUCCUGUUAGCUUUCAAAACACUGAACUGAGCUCAAGUUGAAGAUGAUUUUUAUAACUUAACAUUUUGCUCUCUGUGGUUGCUAGUCCUCCUUAUUACUUUCUUUAGCUUAUUUUCCCUUUGCUGUCUGAAUUGCUUCCUCAAAUUCCACCCACCUUUGGCUUUCCCACUCAGCUGGAAGUAUGCAUCUAAAUGUCGAUAGAAAAGAAAAAGCGAAUUCAAAAAGGCUUUUAUAAGAUGCUGUUGCUGCUAAGGUGAAUCAUCUAUAAUAUACCAAAACCACAGAGAUGCCCCAUCUAAACUAAAGCCAGUUUAACUAAUGUGCUGAUGGGAACGUUCUGUGCUUGUAAGCAAGUUCACAGACUUCCUGCCAGAAGGGGGUAAUUACACAAAGGCCUCUAAUAAGCUCUAGAGUUUGUUUCAUGGAGUAGAGGUUUGAAAGCUGAGACAAACGAUAGACUUUCUUCCAGAAAUAUAGUUUUGUGACAUUGAAAGCUGGAAAACAUUAACCCUAGUUUAUAAAUGGGGAACCAAAGUGUGGAGAUGAUUACCUGAUUUGCCAAAUAUUUCGGAGACAGUAUGGGAGACAACUUAUGUGUGACAACCCUUCCAAGGACAAAUGAUACCUCUAAUGUGUGUAGAGUUGCUUAGCUCCUUGUUGCCUAGCAGUGUCUUACACUUCUGUACUUACUGGCUUUAAAGAAGCACCAAAUCAAAAUGGUAGCCUUUUUUUUAUGUAAAUACAAACACCAAAUGGAAGGAAAAGUUUAGCUGACCCUGGCAGUUUUAAUAGCUAUAUCAAUGUCAAGCAUUAUUUUUCUUUAUUCCACUCGUAUUCAAGAAAAGCAUAGAUUUACUACUUCUUUCCUUAAUGGAACAAAUCACUGAAACAUUUCAAGUGAUGGUGCUUUUCUAAGCAACCUAGAAUAAUUAACUGCACUAAAAUGCUUCCUGGCUUGUGUUACCACAAAAACUGUAAAAACAGUUUUACAAGCUCUUGUGCUUUACUGCAAAGCAAACACAUUAAAAACAUUUAAUGAGCAUUACUUCUUGCAUUUUCUUGUUAAUUUAUAUAAUUUGGUCCUAUGAUAGAAACAAGAAUUGCUUGUUUGGAGUGGCUUAAUAUGUUUCUUAGUAGUUAUGGUCAUGCUGUACUUGUAACGUGAGCCUAGAUAGGAACUCACGGUUUUAACAGUUCUAUGAUAUCAAGAGAAGUUAACUUUGUGUUUGCUUAAGAAUGUGGGAAAUAAACCAUUUGUGACAGAGUAGAAUGCAACAAGUUUAGUCUUUCUGAUCAUAAACUGGAAUUUGACAUUUCAGUGCUUCGCAGUCCUCACAUCCUGAGCCUAAGGGACCUUACAUCUCCACAGUGUCCUUUGGGUUCAGCAUGGAAGCCCCAGGCAAGCGGUGGCGAGGUGGCCACAUGGCAGUAACUGCUGUGUCGCACCAGCGGGUUCAAAGGCCCUCCUAGGUAAACAGCCUAGAAUGUUAAGGGCAUGACAUAGAUGACCCAAGAGAUCGUCUCCCUUCUCGUUUCCAGGCUGGAUGGUUCAGGGCAGUGCUGAUUCCAAUUACAGCUUGAGCACAGCUGCCAAAUUCCAAUGGCGCCCACAUCUUAGGCAGGGCUUUACCGCCUCUCUUCCUGUAUCACCAGGCUGACAGAGAAUAUAUGCAACUGAUUUGGCAGAUAUAUAGAUUCAAGAAUAACUUGGCUUCAUCUGCACGUAUUAUUGGCAAUUUUUCAAACCUUUCCAUUUGUGUGGAUCGCAAAGCCAGUCUCGCUUCAUUUGUAAAUGCAGUUUCUUGCCUAAGUCAUGCAUGAUGUAUGUUGUAAUAAAGUUAUUUCUCCAAUAAGUUUAGACCUGUUGGACAACCCUGUGCUGGACCUAAUCGUGCUUCCUUACAGCCACUGAGGAGUAACUCAUAAUUUGCAUAUGCUUGCCUUGUAUACUGCCUUACAAUGUGGCUUUUUAAUAAGUCUUUCAUAUUGUACUUUUUAUCAUCAAUAGUUUCUUUGUGUCAGUUAUCUUUGAUUGUGCUGUUCUGAUAUAUCUUGGAUACAAAUGAAAUUUACAGGCUCAGUAGGUAGGGCUUUAUGAAUAGUGCUUGAAGUUUUCUACUGUGGGAGAUUAUAAAUGCACUAAACAAAAAACUGUAUUUUUAUGUUUUUCAAUUUCUAGAAAAAUGGUGAAAUUGGAGAGACAAGAAAUGCUUACUGCUAAGAGAAAUGUGAAGAUAAG